UCUGUGUGCUGAUCAUACAGGUGUAGUAUUUAGGUCAGCGGGCCUGACACAGAGGUCUCUUUUCUAUAUGCAGGCUGCCUGAAGGCUGGAAGGAAAGGAGCUCUGUGAGUGAUUUUCAAAUUCCCUGAAAACUAAGAAACCUGCUUGUGUCACUUCCCUUCAGCAAAUUAACAAGAUCAUUGAACAGCACCACAAGCAGCUAAGUGCAAGGAGAUUGGACGGAAACUGGACUAAACAUAGCAUAUCAAAACCUUUAACACUCACGGACAUUUAUGUUGCAGAAGACCGUUAUUAACCAUCAUCAUCAGGAACAACAGCUGAAGAAAAUCAAAGCAAAACAGAAAUGUCUAAGAAGUUCUUGGUGGGAACCAGGAGGACCCUGACCUAGAAGAAGAGCUACAGGGAUACCAGGAAGAGGAUUUUCUGCCUAGCUCUCUUGGGAGCAUGUUCAUGCCAUCCCAAGACCGAGAAUGAGAAAAUUUAAUUCAUACUGGACAUGAAGAUGAGGAGAAUGGGUGCACAGGCUCUGAAUAUGAACUAAAGCCUUUGAUUCAGAAAAUAAAUGGAACAAGACAUAGGAAAAAAGGUGCAGACCCAGAAUUUUUACCAAGUUCUGAUGAGGAGGAAGAUUUCACUAAUUCAGGGAAAAGGCAAAGAUAUUGAGAUGAUGGGAAUUCCCAACUUUACAAGCAAAGACUUAGGUUUGGGAUUGGGAACUAGACUUAGAUUAAACAGACACCAGCAUACUGAUCUAGCAUUGCAUGACUGUUCACUGCCCCAGCUUCUGUCUACAGCAGAAAAUAAUUUGUCUUACAGAGAAAUUAAUGGAUCCAUAAUAUUUCCAGCUGAAAAUGUUUCAGUUGCAUCAACAUUCCUGUUGUUUGCAUGAUGCAUCCAAACUGCCCCUGCUAGCAGCCAUAUUUUAUCUCUUGCAUAUAUAACAUCUACCUGGUGGGUUUAUGUUGUGGUAAAUGCACCAGUAUUUUUUAUGUGUUUUAUAAAUUACCCCCCCCCCCACUGUUGGGUGCAAAUCUUUGUUUGACAAUGAAUGGUACACUGACAGGUGCUGGAUUCCCUGUGUGCACAGAUCACAAUGAGUGCCCUAUAUAACCUCCUGCUCAAGACAGGCGGUCAAUACAGGGUUCCCUUGUUCAAUUUAAUAGACUCUGAAGGUAAUGUCUUCAUCUGCUGAGAAAACAGCCUGGAUCCACUAGCAUACAUUUUUAAGAGGUAUGACAUUAACCUUUGUCUUGUAUCUGCUUCACUACUCAAAGCAAAAUUUUGCACAAGGGUGCAGGAAGCUCAGGUAGGCGCAAGCUCUACAUAAAAUCUAAUGGCUAGACUGUUCGUACAAAAUAAGUUAAAAAUUUGAAACAGCAAGUUUUUUAAAUGGAAAAAUAAAAAUGUUUGAAGUUGAA